rnacentral:misc_RNA from 1 species
GUUCAAUUAGAUGGAGUUUUGGUGUCAAAAUGUAACUAAUUAAAGUAUGUAGAUUCUAUCAGAUAGAAGAAGGGAGUAAUAAAUUGGGGUGUGACUUGGAGGAUCAAACAUGAUGGACGAAAUGGAGUGUGAUGGAUGUGCUACGUGACCUUGUGAUCUCUGAAAAAGUGAAAGGUAAGAGUUAUAUAGAGCUAUCGUUAGGCUAGCUAAGUUAUAUGAGAGUGAAUGUUGAGCGUUUAAGGUAACCCACAAGUUGAGUGAUAGAAAUGAGGACAUUAAGAUGGAUGUCUUGUAACACAAAUAAUGAAUAAAAUUAAUAAUAACCACGUUUGCAAGAUAAUGCAUGUAGCACACAUUGGGAAUAAAAUAAGAGAGUAGAUUAAGAUGGUUUCGUCAUAUCUAACAGAGUAUUGAAUGCCCCAAUAUGAAAGUAUGAUAAGUUAGUAGUGGAAUAAGUAAGAAGAGAAAGGGGAAGGGGAGACCUAAAAUGAC